rnacentral:misc_RNA from 1 species
GAUGAAGAACGUAGCGAAAUGCGAUAAGUAAUGUGAAUUGCAGAAUUCAGUGAAUCAUCGAAUCUUUGAACGCACAUUGCGCCCCUUGGUAUUCCGAGGGGCAUGCCUGUUCGAGCGUCAUUAUAACCCCUCAAGCUCAGCUUGGUGUUGGGGCCUGCUGCACUGGCAGCCCUUAAAAUCAGUGGCGGUGCCGUCCGGCUCCGAGCGUAGUAAUUCUUCUCGCUCUGGAGGUCCGGUCGUGUGCUCGCCAGCAACCCCCAAUUUUUUUCAGGUUGACCUCGGAUCAGGUAGGGAUACCCGCUGAACUUAAGCAUAUCAAUAAGCGGAGGA